AAGCUUGUUCCUCUUCCGCUCUGUUGCACAGGUUGAAUUGACCAAAGCAAUGGUGAUAGAGAAGCCUAGUCCCCUGCUGGUCAGGCAGGAAUUUGUGAGACAGUAUUAUACACUGCUGAACCAGGCCCCAGACAUGCUAUAUAGGAAAUCCAUAGGAAAGUGAUGUCACAAAACUUCGCCAACUGCCACACCAAGAUUCGCCAUGUUGAUGCUCAUGCCACUCUGAAUGAUGCUGUGGUGGUCCAGGUGAUGGGGCUUCUCUCUAAUAACAACCAGGCUUUGAGGAGAUUCAUGCAGACGUCUGUCCUUGCUCCUGAGGGCUCUGUUGCAAAUAAGUUCUAUGUUCACAAUGAUAUCUUCAGAUACCAAGAUGAGGUCUUUGUUGGCUUUGUCACUGAGCCUCGGGAGGAAUCUGAGGAAGAAGUAGCGGAACCUGAAGAAAGACAGCAGAUGCCUAAAGUGGUUAUUGAUGAUUCUGGAACUUUCUAUGAUCAGACUGUUGUCAGUAAUGACAUGGAAGAACAUUUAGAGGAGCCUGUUGCUGAACCAGAGCCUGAUCCUGAACCAGAACCAGAGCAAGAACCUGUAUCUGAAAUCCAAGAGGAAAAGUCUGAGCCAGUAUUAGAAGAAACUUCUCCUGAGGAUACUCAGAAGAGUUCUUCUCCAGCACCUGCAGACAUAGCUCAAACAGUUUAGGAAGACUUGAAGACUUUUCCUUUGGCAUCUGUGACCAGUAAGAACCUUCCACCCAGUGGAGCUGUUCUGGUUACUGGGAUACCACCUCAUGUUGUUAAAGUACCAGAUUCACAGCCUCAUCCAGAGUCUAAGCCUGAAUCUCAGAUUCCACCAUGGAGACCUCAGAGGGAUCAAAGAGUUUGAGAACAAUGAAUAAAUAUUCCUCCCCAGAGAGGCCCCAGACCAAUUCGUGAGGCUGGUGAGCAAGGUGAUGUUGAACUCCGAAGAAUUAUGAGACACCCUGACAGUCAUCAACUUUUCAUUGGCAACCUGCCUCAUGAGGUGGACAAAUCAGAGCUUAAAGAUUUCUUUCAAAGCUAUGGGAAUGUGGUGGAGCUGCACAUUAACAGUGGUGGGAAGUUACCCAAUUUUGGUUUUGUUGUGUUUGAUGAUUCUGAGCCUGUUCAGAAAGUCCUUAGCAACAGGCCCAUCAUGUUCAGAGGUGAGGUCCGUCUGAAUGUGGAAGAGAAGAAGACUUGAGCUGCCAGGGAAGGGGACCGUCGAGAUAACCACGUGUGGGGACCUGGAGACCCUCGAGGUGGGCUGGGUGGUGGAAUGAGAGGCCCUCCCCGUGGAGGCAUUGUGCAGAAACCAGGAUUUGGAGUGGGAAGGGGGAUUGCUCCAAGGCAGUGAAUUGCUCUUCACUGAUCUUCACACAGCAGUUCACACCCUAACUCCUGCAGAAUGGUGAAUUUCUUCAGCCAGCCUUUGGUAUCUUGGAGUAUGAUCCUAGUCUGUUAUAAACUGCUUAAGUUUGUACAAUUUUACUUUCAUUUUGUGUUAAUGGUGUGUGCUCCCUCCCCAUCUCUUCCCUCUCCUGACCUUUAGUCCUUCACUUCCAAUUUUGUGGAAUGAUAUUUUAGGAGUAACGGAUUUUUAAAGAAG